UACAGUUCAUGCCUUUACAGCAGUGUAAAAGCAGUAGCUAUGGUCUGAGUGCAGGAGCUUCACUGUUUAUAGAGCCGGAAGGAAAACACAGCUUGAUUAUAAGUAUCAGGUCUCUGCUGUGUGGGGGUCCUUUGAUAUCUGCUGUGAAAGGAGAUCUGCAGCUGCUUUUUCCUAAGAGACCUUUCAGAUGAGGACUGCAAAGUGGUUCACAGCUAUUCAGCUUCACAAAAGCCCGCACAAGAUCUCCCUCUAUUCUUGAAGAUGCCAUGCCUCCCGCCAUUCCCACCAAAGAGGGUCACACUUUGCUCCAGGAGAUGACGAGAAGCAAAGCAAAGUCCAUGGGAACACAAGGGAAUGCUUUGCCAAGCAGCAGGUCCACGCUGGUGUGUGGCCUUUAUAGUUCGGGUUAAAUAAACAGUGUGUAAAUAAAUAAAUAAUAUCCUC